rnacentral:rRNA from 1 species
AGCGAACGCUGGCGGCGUGCCUAACACAUGCAAGUCGAACGUGAAAGGGAGCAAUCCCAAGUAACGUGGCGUACGGGUGAGUAACACGUAGGUAAUCUACCCCAGAAUCUGGAAUAACCGGCCGAAAGGCCGGCUAAUACUGGAUAGAGCGACGGAAUCCGUAAUUGGGUUUUUCGGGAAAGGGAGCCUGUAAAAAGGCCGUCGUUCUGGGAUGAGCCUGCGGCCCAUCAGCUAGUUGGUGAGGUAAAAGCUUACCAAGGCAAUGACGGGUAGCUGGUCUGCGAGGCCGCUCGCCCUAGCUGGUACUGGAGCACGGUCCAGCCCCCUGCGGGAGGCAGCCGUGGCGGAUCUUGAGCGAUGGCCGAAGGGCUGACGCAGCGACGCCGCGUGCGUGCCGGAUGCCUCCGGGUUGCGAAGCUCUGUCGGGUGGGAGGAAAAUGCUUGUCGUUCACAGCUCCAGGAACUGACGGUACCACUAAAGGAAGCACCGGCUAACUCCGUG